rnacentral:rRNA from 1 species
UCGGUCUGGGAUGGACUCGCGGCCUAUCAGGUAGUUGGUGAGGUAACGGCUCACCAAGCCGACGACGGGUAGCCGGCCUGAGAGGGUGACCGGCCACACUGGGACUGAGACACGGCCCAG